CUGAUUCCUUCGACUUUUUCUCAGAAACUAAUUUCUUUCCCCUCAAAUAAUUUUCUUCACCUUUCUUCUCCCUCUCCUCUGUCGCGUCGCCACCGUAACCGUCACAAUUUGUAUUAUCCAACACUUCAUAUCUCUCGUAGGGUUCAAAAAAGUUCAGGAAAUCCCAAGCUGAACCAGCUGGAGGUGGAGGCGGUGGCGGUUUUGGACCAUAAAAGCCACCGGAAUUAGUAGGCGGCGGUGAAAACGGAGAGCAAUGAGGGUGGUUGUAACUGGUGAAAGCCACGUCAGAUGAAAUUUGAAACUCUUUAAUAUCCUCUUCAGGUUCUGAAUUAGAAUCGAAAUGUAAGUGUUUAUCAUCUGAGACCUGAGUUUCUUGAAACUGAGUAAAGAAGAAUAGAAGAGUAGAACCAAGAGUUAUAAGAGACUCGGUGUGUUUGACGUGUGCAUCAGCGAGAAUGAAGCUUUGGUUGAGUGCUUCAUUAACAAAUUUGCAACGUUCACGGCACACAGAAAUCGCAUCAACUUUUGAAGUGUUGCAACCCAUCACUCAUAUGGUUUGUAAAACUGUUUGUUAAUUUUGUGGAUCAAAAAAUGAGAUAAAGGAAGUAUAUAUGACGGUUCCAGAUUUUGAGUUGGCGUUCGAAUUUUCAACAUUUUGAAAAUAGCAAGGUGAUUGGAUAGGAUUCCGUAACCGAUGGGUUUGAUCAUGGUUAUUGAAGCUAUAUUUAUGUUUCGCAAAGAGAGUGCUCAAUGGACCAAUAACACCAACUGUGCCUGGCAUCCUUACACUACGGUAUUAUUGAAGAACAUAAUGCUACUAUUGAUGGAGAGCUUAAUUUGGA
rnacentral:lncRNA from 1 species